rnacentral:lncRNA from 1 species
CACCACUAGGCUAUUACAUAAACUUCUCUUACUCUUCUUGACUUCUCUAUCUACUCUGUACCUGCAAGACUGGGGUUAGGGGAGAGGGGUGAGCUAUAAAGCCCAGCGAGCAGAAAGAUAAAAACAUGUAAUUUAGUUUCACCCUUUUUAUGUUUAUUAUUAUUCAUUUUAUUAUUAAGAACAUUUGUUUUAGUUCCUCCAUUUUUAGGUAUAUUAUUAUUCAUUUUCUUAUUAUGAUUAUACUUUUUCUUAUACAUGCUUUCAUGAAAUGCAUCACAUCACAGCUAAUCACAUAAAGGAUGGUAUUGUCACCAUUAGUCCUCAACAUCUCCAAAUUCCAGGGGCGUAGAAUGGGCCUCACUGGACUUUCUCU